GCCACCCCACAGACUUGCAGGGGUCCCGUAGGCUAAUGCUAUGUGUAGAUAGAACAGAAUCUAGAGGCGUAUCAUCCUCAAUUCCUCAUCCAUGCUUGUAUAAGACCGUCCCAAUUGCCCCCUUUUGCAGAAAGUGUUGGGAGCCCUUCGGUUUGAUGCGCAUACGCAUGACGUGGCAUUGCUACUUAUAGCAUCUGGGGGGGCAUGCACAUUGCUUAUUCGGGCUUGGUCUUGUCAGUUGCCACAUGCUGCCCAAGGUGACUUUCUCCAUCGACUGCGUUCGUUUGAGCAGAAAGAGGUUAGGUUAUGAUGAAGCAGCAAAUUCAUCAUCAAAAGGGCCGUUUGCUCUGUUUCUUCCAGGAUCCACUUUGGAGGAGCAGAAGAUCGACCGGAGGCGCUUCCGUCUCUGCAACUUCAGAACCAAAUCCCAACUCUCUUCUUCUUCUUUUGGAUAAUGAAUCCCAAAUCCCUUCUAGAGGCUACAAUCCUUGACCAGAGGCGGACAAACUUGUCGAGGGUCAUUGGCAGCAUCUCUCCACAUGCAUGGACAAGUAACAGCGCUCUCAAGUCUGAAGAUACAAACAGUGGCGCCUGCCUAACCUUAUAGUCCUUCCAAAAAUAAAAAAACGACUGAGUAGCCUAGUAGCCUUAUCGUUAUCGUUCUACAGAAGUUGUGUGGCUCUGAACAACAAAUGGAUAGCAGGAUAAGCUUGCGAGGAUU